UACAGAGGUCUCAAGCGUUGUUCGGAUUCAUUGGGCGUAAAGGGUGCGUAGGUGGCGAGGCAAGUCUGGUGUGAAAUCCUGGAGCUCAACUCCAGAACUGCCUUUGAUACUGAGAAGCUUGAGUCCGGGAGAGGUGAGUGGAACUGCGAGUGUAGAGGUGAAAUUCGUAGAUAUUAGGAAGAACACCAGUGGCGAAGGCGGCUCACUGGCCCGGUACUGACGCUGAGGCGCGAAAGCGUGGGGAGCAAACAGG
rnacentral:rRNA from 1 species